UGUGCUUAGGGCGUCACCAGGCUGAGGUCAAGAUGUCAGCCAGUCCCUGGAUGCAGGCUGCUCGGGAAGGGAGCAUGACCUCGCCGGAGCAGGCUGUCCUCAGCUCAGCCAACUCCCGAAGAAGCUAGCAGUGCAGGACCGACCUCCAGCAGCACUCUCUGGCAGUGCAGAAUAAAUCCCUCAUUUUUA